rnacentral:rRNA from 1 species
GCCUUAGUAACUGCGAGUGAAGCGGCAAAAGCUCAAAUUUGAAAUGAGGCCCGUUGAUUGUCUGAUUAAUCAGCUCUCGACCCCUCAGUUGUAAUUUAGAGGAUUGCCAUGGUGAUAGCGCCCAUACGAAGUUCUUUGGAACAAGACACCAAUGAGGGUGAUAGUCCCGUCAGAUGAAAAAUGGUGCGCUACGGUGUCCGAUAUGGCAUAUCCGACGAGUCGAGUUGUUUGGGAAUGCAGCUCAAAAUGGGUGGUAAAUUUCAUCUAAAGCUAAAUACAGGCUGGAGACCGAUAGCGAACAAGUAGAGUGAUCGAAAGAUGAAAAGCACUUUGAAAAGAGAGUUAAAUAGUACGUGAAAUUGUUGAAAGGGAAGCGCUUGAGACCAGAUUCGGCUGGCGGUGUUCAUCCAUGCAAAUUUCUGCAUGGUGUAUGUGCCGUUGGUUGAGCCAGCAUCGGUUCUAAUGGCGGGAUAAAGGUUCGAGGAAUGUGGCUCCAAAAUUAUGCGGAGUGUUAUAGCCUUGAGUGCAAUGUCGCCUAUUGGAAUCGAGGACCGCGCUUCGGCUAGGAUGUUGGCUAAAAGGUCUUAAGCGGCCCGUCUUGAAACACGGACCAAGGAGUCUAACAUCUAUGCGAGUGUUUUGGCGUGAAACCAUUGCGCGUAAUGAAAGUGAACGAGGUGGGAACCCCAAGUUGGGGUGCACCAUCGACCGAUCCUGAAGUUUACGGAAGGAUUUGAGUAGAAGCAUAGCUGUUGGGACCCGAAAGAUGGUGAACUAUGCCUGAAUAGGGUGAAGCCAGAGGAAACUCUGGUGGAGGCUCGCAGCGGUUCUGACGUGCAAAUCGAUCGUCAAAUUUGGGUAUAGGGG